CACAGAGCAGAGGGGGAAGACCCUCUGGUCUAGGGAGAUCCCUAGACCAGCUGACCAUGCUCCUUUUUCCUCAUCUGUACCCAGAACUCUCCCAGAUUCACAAGCAACAUUUCCAGUCAGAGGAAAAUGCAGGAAAUGCAGAUACAGUUCCUGGGGAGCAUUUGCUCCAGUACCUACGUGCUGCCAAUGUACAUGGAAAAUUUCAGGAAUGUACCCCUCUUCUUUGCAUCAAACUGGCGGUAUAAGCUAUUGUACAAGAAUGCUCACAUGCUCUGCUAUUAGCUCAGAGAUAUGGAAGACAAAAGAAUAUUGUUUCCUUAAUUUAAAUGUGAUCAGAAAGGAAAAUCAUACAGAGAAUCUCAUUUUCCCUGA